UCUUAAACCCUAUCUAGGGUUUAAGCGUUCUCUCUCCGAAUGACCAAGAACCCUGCAAAAUCGGAGACGGAUAGCCUCUCGCUUUUAUGUUUGCGUAUAUAUACAAUUUCUUGUAUCGGCAUGAAUUCCAAAACCUUACCUCAAUCACCAAAAUCUUCCUUUGAUCAGAGAUGGUGGGCUUGAAUCCCGCCAUUAGAGACCUCUGCAACAACCCCAAGCUACUCUCCUCUCCAACAGACCCACCUGACCUUCUUGUCCCCAAAUUCAACGACUUCUCCUCAACCCUCAACGAACAUUUUCCCGAUUUCGACUCCAUCGAAGAUUGGAUCCUCGAACCCGACUACGUCUCAGCUCCAAUCGAAGGAAACGGCGCUGAAAACCCACAAGUCAUGUCUUCGGAAGAAACCCAUCAAGAAAUAGUCGUUGAGAAUCUUAGCCCAGAUGGGCAUGAUUCGGUACGGGCAGAAUUCGGUUUUCCUGAAGGUACUCAUCCGUGCUUAGAUGGGUGUGAUUCGAAACCAGCCGAAAUCGGGUUUUCUGGGGAAACUCAUCUGGAGGUCGGCCUUAAAGAUCGAUGCCCGACUGGGUCUGAUCUGGAAAGAGCAGAAUUUCAGUUUUCGAAUGAGACUUGUCAAGAUGCCAACGUUGAGGAACUACAUGCAGAUGGGUCUGAUUUAACAAGCCCUGGAUUUGGGGUACCGGGAAAAUCCGCACUUUCAAGCAUUUCUAUAGAGGAGGAGAUGGGGAAGGUUAGUUUGGUUGGAGCUUGCAAUGACAUUUCUGUAAAUUCUGAUGUUGCCCGUGGUGAAGAAAGAGAUGGGUCAGUGAGAAUUGACAAAUGCAAUGGAGAUGCUAAGUCAAAAGAGAACAUCAAUGUAGAUGGUAGAGUUACAGAGAAAGGUGUUACUGAUGAAAACAGUGUGGAAAUCGGUGAAAUAGUGAGUCAGAGGGAUGGCAAAGUUAGCAGUGCUUCAGAGUCCACUGAGAGUGAAGAUUCCCCCUCUUCAAGUAGUGGAGAAGAAAUGGACAGUGAUGAUAGUGAUGAUAGUGAUGAUGAUGAUGAUGUUGAAAAAAAAGAAGAAAAAGAGGGCCAGGCGGAUGAGGUUGCAGAAGUUGAAGAAGGCGAGAUUAGGGAUUUUGAUAGAGAGGAGAUUGUAGUUAGCAGUGAGGACGAGGAAGGAGGUGUCGUGAAAGGACCUGUCAAAUCCAAAAAUGAGAUUGAGAUACUUCCUCCAGUUCCUCCCGUGGAUGUUGUUUUGCAACCACAUCAUCAGAUGCUGCCUGUUGGAGUGGUUUUAACUAUGAUGGGUGCCAAAGUCAUUGUAGAGGGGCUAGAGAAGCACAACCCUCUCAAUGAGGGUUCCAUCCUCUGGAUAACAGCAACCAGAUUGCCACUAGGACUGGUGGAUGAAAUCUUCGGACCUGUUAAAAACCCUUACUAUGUGGUCAGAUUCAAUUCUGAGAAGGAAGUCCCAUCCGGAAUAUGUGAAGGCACUGCCAUCUCCUUUGUUGCAGAGUUUGCCGAUCAUGUCCUCAAUGACAAGAGCCUCUACCAGAAAGGGUAUGAUGCAUCUGGCGAUAAUGAUGAAGAGAUCUCUGAUGAGGCUGAAUUUUCUGACGACGAGAAGGAAGCUGAGUAUAGGCGCUCACUGCGAGUGGCAAAGAAGGGGAAGGAUAGGCGUGAAAAUCGAGAAUCUGAUGGUCAGAAGAGGGCUCAAUUUAAGGGGCGGUUUCAUAAGAAUGUCCAACCUUCAAGCUCGCCAGCACCGGUUGCUGUGGGCCCACCUGCACCAAUGGGCAUGGGUGUGCCAUUUGUUCCAGCUCAGCUUCAAGGGCCACAGAUUCCAGGCCCAUUUGGUUGUGGGAGCUGUGGGUGCUCCUUUGGCAGCAGUGGGCCCAUCUGUGUCCCACAAAUUUCACAUGUAGCACAAACAACAGGCCUUGGAGCUCUGCCUCAGCACCUGUUUAUGCAGUCCAAUGCCAUUUGGACAAAUGGAAUGCCAGCUCAGCAGCAGCAUAUGGGCAUGCUUAGUGGAUUCCAAAUGAAUGGGGUGCCACAUCCACAACCAACAGAUCAUCAGCAUCACCAGCACCAGCACCAGCACCAGCAUCAGCAGCAGCAGCAGAUGUUUACGGGUGGCUCGAAUGGAAUGCCAUUUCAGCAGCAGUUUGAUCCUAGUCAAAUGCCAAAUCUGCCUGGGUUCAUGGCCCCCAGCUGCUUCAACCAAGUACCAGUUGGUAUGGGCAUCCAGGGUCAGCAGGGCCACCACUUGCAUACUGCCAUGAACAGGCAAGGAGUCUCUGGCUUCGAGCCAUUCAACGGACAGCUUCCACCACCUAUAACUCAAGGUGGGUUUUCCGCUCCCCGGCAAUUCAAUCCAGGACAAGCAUCCAAUCGUGGGAAAAAGCCAUACCCAAGAGGUGGCCGUGCUAAUUUUUCAGGCAGGCAGGGUUGGCGUCCAACGGGAGGCUUUGGAGAUGGCUUCUGAAGCUCCAUCCUCUUAUGGUUCUAGUCUUCAUAAGGCUGCCUUCAAUGCUAUCUCAUCAUGCUAGCCUUCAACUUCUACAUGGGUUAUUGAUAUAAGUUCCACUGAUCAUAUGACUGGACUUGAGGACCAGGAAGAUUCUUGGUGGGGGUCGUGAGGAGCAUGUGCUAUACCUUUUUGGACCAACUAAACCUAAAAAAGCAUCCUCUCUGGUUAUCUCAUAUCCAAGAAGAUGUUACUUUGUGGUACUUAAGACUUGGUCAUGCCCCAUUGUCCAUUAGUCCCUCUCACUUUUAAGCGUUCUCAACUGUCAUGUGAAACAUAUCAAUUAGCAAAACAUACUUGUAUAGUUUUUCCCUUGAGGUAUAGACUAGAUGUUCAACUCCUUGUGCAAGAAUAGACAUUUGCUUGAGGGCACUCAAGCUCUUCUCACUGUUAUGCAUGUCCCUAAGGUUUCUUUGGUCA